GGCGAAGUAGCUCAGCUGGCUAGAGCACACGGUUCAUACCCGUGGUGUCGAGGGUUCGAGUCCCCCCUUCGCUACGA
rnacentral:tRNA from 1 species